GAUGAACGCUGGCGGCGUGCCUAAUACAUGCAAGUCGAGCGAACAGACGAGGCGCUUGCUCCUCUGACGUUAGCGGCGGACGGGUGAGUAACACGUGGAUAACCUACCUAUAAGACUGGGAUAACUUCGGGAAACCGGAGCUAAUACCGGAUAAUAUAUUGAACCGCAUGGUUCAAUAGUGAAAGACGGUUUUGCUGUCACUUAUAGAUGGAUCCGCGCCGCAUUAGCUAGUUGGUACGGUAACGGCUUACCAAGGCUACGAUGCGUAACCGACCUGAGAGGGUGAUCGGCCACACUGGAACUGAGACACGGUCCAGACUCCUACGGGAGGCAGCAGUAGGGAAUCUUCCGCAAUGGGCGAAAGCUUGACGGAGCAACGCCGCGUGAGUGAUGAAGGUCUUCGGAUCGUAAAACUCUGUUAUUAGGGAAGAACAAAUGUGUAAGUAACUAUGCACGUCUUGACGGUACCUAAUCAGAAAGCCACGGCUAACUACGUG
rnacentral:rRNA from 1 species